AUAUUUUUAAAUCAAAGAAAAAUUCUUUAAUAAUAAAUCCAAAUAUUUUGAAAUCCCACGUAAUUUAUAAAUGUUAUGAAGCUUAACCUUAAGUUUGUGAAAUUAGUAUACACAAUAAUGAAGAAGUAAGCUCUUUUUCCACUGAAUUGAAUUCCUUGCAAAUAAAUCGGGCAAAUAUUAAAGAGAAAAUUAUUCCGUCUUUUUUUGUAUUGAAUAACAAAGAAUGCAAAUAUGUCAAGUUUGGUCAAUUAGUACUAUGGUAUGAUGAAAGAUUUUAUUAUAAUCCAUUCAAUUAUAAAACUUCAACAAUUCGCCAACGCAAAUUACUUAAUUACUUAAAAAAAACACAUUUUGAAAAUAAUAUAAGUAAUGAGCAAUUACAAAGAAAGAAACAAAAGAAAUUGUUGAGAUAUGUAAAAGAUGCUAAAAAGAAUGAUUCUACUAGUAAUGAAUCAUGGGACGGGUGGGGUAAUUGGAGUUCAUGCAGUGUAACAUGCGGAAAUGGUCGUCAAGUUCGUUGGCGUCAUUGCGCAGCAGAACAUUGUACAAAAGGAUUAAAGAAAGCACAAAUAAAAACAUGUCGUUUAAAAGAAUGUGAAUCUAAAAACAUUCUUAAUUGGCUUGGAAUUAAAAUUAAAUAAUAAAUUUAAAAAGAGAAAAUACAUAAUGAAGAUGAAAUACAUAUAUUCAUAUUCAUAAU